UACGAAGGGGGCUAGCGUUGCUCGGAAUCACUGGGCGUAAAGCGCACGUAGGCGGAUUGCUAAGUCAGGGGUGAAAUCCUGGAGCUCAACUCCAGAACUGCCUUUGAUACUGGCAAUCUCGAGUUCGGGAGAGGUGAGUGGAACUGCGAGUGUAGAGGUGAAAUUCGUAGAUAUUCGCAAGAACACCAGUGGCGAAGGCGGCUCACUGGCCCGAUACUGACGCUGAGGUGCGAAAGCGUGGGGAGCAAACAGG
rnacentral:rRNA from 1 species